rnacentral:rRNA from 2 species
UUUGUGGAGAGUUUGAUCCUGGCUCAGGACGAACGCUGGCGGCGUGCUUAACACAUGCAAGUCGAACGGAAAGGCCCCUUCGGGGGUGCUCGAGUGGCGAACGGGUGAGUAACACGUGGGUGAUCUGCCUCGCACUCUGGGAUAAGCCUGGGAAACUGGGUCUAAUACUGGAUAGGACCGCGCUUUAGUGUGUGUGGUGGAAAGUUUUUUCGGUACGAGAUGAGCCCGCGGCCUAUCAGCUUGUUGGUGGGGUAAUGGCCUACCAAGGCGUCGACGGGUAGCCGGCCUGAGAGGGUGGACGGCCACAUUGGGACUGAGAUACGGCCCAGACUCCUACGGGAGGCAGCAGUGGGGAAUAUUGCACAAUGGGCGCAAGCCUGAUGCAGCGACGCCGCGUGAGGGAUGACGGCCUUCGGGUUGUAAACCUCUUUCGACAGGGACGAAGCUUUUGUGACGGUACCUGUAUAAGAAGCACCGGCUAACUACGUGCCAGCAGCCGCGGUAAUACGUAGGGUGCGAGCGUUGUCCGGAAUUACUGGGCGUAAAGAGCUCGUAGGUGGUUUGUCGCGUCGUCUGUGAAAUUCCGGGGCUUAACUCCGGGCGUGCAGGCGAUACGGGCAUAACUUGAGUGCUGUAGGGGAGACUGGAAUUCCUGGUGUAGCGGUGGAAUGCGCAGAUAUCAGGAGGAACACCGAUGGCGAAGGCAGGUCUCUGGGCAGUAACUGACGCUGAGGAGCGAAAGCAUGGGGAGCGAACAGGAUUAGAUACCCUGGUAGUCCAUGCCGUAAACGGUGGGCGCUAGGUGUGAGGGUCUUCCACGACUUUCGUGCCGUAGCUAACGCAUUAAGCGCCCCGCCUGGGGAGUACGGCCGCAAGGCUAAAACUCAAAGGAAUUGACGGGGGCCCGCACAAGCGGCGGAGCAUGUGGAUUAAUUCGAUGCAACGCGAAGAACCUUACCUGGGCUUGACAUAUACAAGAUCGGCGUAGAGAUACGUUUUCCCUUGUGGUUUGUAUACAGGUGGUGCAUGGUUGUCGUCAGCUCGUGUCGUGAGAUGUUGGGUUAAGUCCCGCAACGAGCGCAACCCUUGUCUUAUGUUGCCAGCACGUGAUGGUGGGGACUCAUGAGAGACUGCCGGGGUUAACUCGGAGGAAGGUGGGGAUGACGUCAAAUCAUCAUGCCCCUUAUGUCCAGGGCUUCACACAUGCUACAAUGGUCGGUACAACGCGUUGCGAGCCUGUGAGGGUGAGCGAAUCGCUGAAAGCCGGCCUCAGUUCGGAUUGGGGUCUGCAACUCGACCCCAUGAAGUCGGAGUCGCUAGUAAUCGCAGAUCAGCAACGCUGCGGUGAAUACGUUCCCGGGCCUUGUACACACCGCCCGUCACGUCAUGAAAGUUGGUAACACCCGAAGCCCAUGGCCCAACCAGUUUCUGGGGGGAGUGGUCGAAGGUGGGAUCGGCGAUUGGGACGAAGUCGUAACAAGGUAGCCGUACCGGAAGGUGCGGCUGGAUCACCUCCUUU